GGCUACGGCCUGACCACCCUGAACGUGCCUGAUGUAGUCUGAUCUCGGAAGCUAAGCAGGGUCAGGCCUGGUGGGCUUCUUGGAUGGGAGAGCCCUCUUUUUGGUCCCAGGGGUCACACCUC
rnacentral:rRNA from 1 species